rnacentral:lncRNA from 1 species
UUUCUACAAGGUCAAUUUGGCUCUAAACCCCUCUAGGGUAAAAGCCCUAAUUUUGGUGCCCUAACAAUGCCAUUUACAAAUUCUUUGGGUUUGAUCUCUAGAACAAGCAAAAGAAAGCUUGUUGAACCUCUAGGAACUCUUUUAGAACCUUUUCUAAGCUUUUCAAACCAUUUCUAGGGCAUACAAUAUGAAUCCUAGAAGUUCACCAUAAGAGCACAUGAAGCUACCAUGGAUUUUCAUGGAGUUCAUGCCUCUACUAGGUUUCUAUACAUGAGAGGAGAUCAAAACCUAGCUUCCUAGGUCACAAAACCAAACCCUAAACUCAGUCUUGCCAAAGAACUCACCUUAGCCCUAAGCUCUCCAAUGUCCACCUUGUAGGAGAGUACCCAAGCCUCUAAAACCCUAAGUCCUUCAAGAUUUCUCCUCCAAAUCCACCUCCUUUAGCUUUGUGAGAGAGGUUCUAGAGAGAGAGAGAGAGGGAGAGAAAUGAGAGGAGGGGUGUAAUUAGCUGUGGGAGAGAGAGAGAAGGUGUGUUAAGGUGUCACGCCCCGGGGUCCCUUUUAGUUUAAAACAUAGCGGAAAAGCGUCUGAAUUUUUUUUUUUUUUUUUGAAAAGCCUGACCCCAGAGUAUGCCAGAUCCGCCACAAACACAGGGAAUCCACUGUUCACAUGGACAGAGUCUCCCCUAUAUUUGCACGGCGUCACACAAGUACAAGAAGUAACCCAGGUACAACCACAACCAAAUGAACAUACAAAUAACUAACGAUUAUAUAUUCAUGCACCAUUCACAUCACAGGUUCACAUUUAUAUAUUCAAUAUUUAAACAUAAAUUCACAUCUAUCAGUUAAAAUAUUUCCAACCACAGAAACAGGUUUUGAAAUACUAAGAUGCAAAAUCCACAUAAAACCUUUUUGAAAACUAUUUCCUACACGGAAAUCUUUAUUCUUUAAAAACGCUACCACGAGGGGUAGAAAACCUUUUAUUUUACAAAAUCCAGAAAUCUGUUUAUUAUAUUCACGAAAAUUCAUAUAUUCAAAUGUAAUAAAAAUACUGAACCAUAUAAGUCAACUAAGCUCUAUAUCAACAUAAAUAAUAAGGGUAAAAGCUAAACCGAAUAACCUGGGUCGGAAGAUCUAACGACCGCUACGUACAUGCCUCACGUCUCGUCUCAAUACCCAUCGCCUGCGAUACCUGAAGAAUGGUGGGGGAGGUGAGAACAUGUAAAUAUGUCUCCCCUCCCAGUGGGUACCGCAAGCCGAUGAAAGCGAGGAGUGCUCACCAGAUCAGGAAGAGCUAAACAACAGUACGGGUCAGUGAAAAUACAGUAGGAACAAUAGUAAACGAAAGAGAUAUGUAAGGAGCUGACAAGUAUAGAUGCAGGUAAAUAAAACAGUAGCCACAAUAAACAGAUAAGGAUGUACUGGAAAUAAACACUACAGCUACUGUAUGCAUGUGUCAACUGACGAUAACCUCAAAAAUAUCCAAUCUCGCUGCCCUAUUGGUCCGAGGACCUCAGGCCCAUGCCACACUGCUCAAUCUGUUCCUGACCCUCGCAAUGAAGCCCCUGGGUCAGAAACAUGUACCUGACCCUCGCAAUGAAGCCCCUGGGUUAGAAGCAUAUACCCUCGCAAUAAAGCCCCUGGGCUCACGGGUUGGCAAUCCAACCACUUCUCUGGAAAAGAACACCCUCUUGCGGUGGAUCAGACCGCUGGUGUUCGUGAAAUGCGUACCUGCAGUGGCGAUCAAUGUAGUAUGCUCAAAGAUCAUCCAUCGGCAACUAGCCGACAAUCCAGCCCCUCAGGGCACACCGACCGUAUAGGCCAUCAGCAACUAAUCGGCUACGUAUGUCAAGAUAGAACUGUAGCAACUCGACCGAAUAGGUCAUAGAUAUCAAAAUAGGGGAACCGCCAAACCAAAUCACAGAUAUGGAUAGAACUGUAGCAACUCGACCGAAUAGGUCAUAGAUAUCAAAAUAGGGGAGCCGCCCAACCAAAUCACAGAUAUAGAUAGAACUGUAGCAACUCGACCGAAUAGGUCAUAGAUAUCAAAAUAGGGGAACCGCCCAACCAAAUCACAGAUAUAGUGAACAGAUAAGUCAACUCUACUCCUAAGCAUGAUAUCAACAUGGAAAUAACUGAGUAGAGGAAUGCAGAUAUAGUGAACAGAUAAGUCAACUCUACGCCCAACCAAAUCACAGAUAUAGUGAAUAGAUAAGUCAACUCUACUCCUAGGCAUGAUAUCAACAUGAAAAUAACUGAGUAGAGGAAUGCAGAUAUAAAUGCAGGUGCAAGGCUCAACACUUUAUAUCAAGAGAUAUAUAUAUAUAUAUAUAUAUAUAUAUAUAUAUACCAGAUAAUAACGGGAGAACAAAGGUAAGAAACCAUCACCGAGCGUGCACCACUGUACCGACGUCGGAUCGAAGUACCCGCCUGUACAACUGUCGCGCCUGUCUCCUGACUGCAAAAGAAUGUCAACCGGACCUAAGGAGGGUCCACUGGGUUAGUGUCUAACCCACAGCUAAGAAACCCUAAAAGCAUAGCCCACAAACAAUCUCACGGAGAUCGGUUUCCUAAUACCGAUUACCGUAACUCGUCGGAAGUCCCGAAAACCACACCGGGACGCCGUCGGGACCCACGAACUGUCCCGAAAUAUUCCGACUAUGAUACGAGUCACCCGCUGCCACAAAACACACCAAUUUGGAUGUCUUGGCAGGCAAACACAAGUUAACACAACUACACAUUAUCGCCGGAUAAUUGUACGAACUCGGGUUCCGAAAGUGUCAAAUUCGACACCGGAACCCACCGUCGCUCACUCGUCAUUUCUGAACUCUCGAAAUGACGCAAGUGACCAGCAAACAAGGCUGGCGACUACACAAUAGCCCACGAAGCACCGUCGGAAUAAUUCCGAACCGAACCGCGUUCGUCGGCGGAUUUCGCCGAGAAACGCAUCGGAAAUCACUUUUCGGUCUCCGUAAGGCUUGGGCUUGGACAAUCAGUCAGAGGUUUACCCACUAUCACCCAUGCUGCAACAGCAGCACAACAACCAAAAUACAUAAAAGCCUCCGAUUACCCGAAAUCGCAUUAUUUCAUGCGAUUUCGGCGCUUUUAUGGUCCGUCGGCACAAACCAGAAAUGAAUCAGUGAAGCGAGGCACCCGCUGAUAGGUCUCGCGUGCGCGAGACCGUGCUCACCUUUCGAAGCAAAUUCGCCACUGUGGGAAACGUACGAGCGACGGCGAAAUUCAGUGAAUAUAGCGGCGCACAGCGCCUAAUUCGCUUCUAACACGCAAACCGAGGAACCGAUGACCCCGACGGAGGUGAGCACGAUGCUCAGCACGGAGUAACGAUGAUCGUGCUCACUUCUACUGUCAUCAGGGUGCCUUCGGAUCGCCGGAAAGGCCACCGGAAUCCCAAAAUACAGUGCUGUUAACAUCAAUACAGCCUUACCUAGGUAGUGGAGCUAGGGUUGAUCGCCGGCGGCCGGACGGCGGGCGGUCCGGCCAGGGGAGGGUGCGGCCGGUUGGUGGGGUCUGGGGCACCCGCUGGCCGGCGGCGGAAGGUGGCCGUUGGCACGGCGGCGGAGAUCAAGUCCACCAAGCUCCUCUCGGGUUCAAGGGCGCCGGCGGUGAAGCGGCGGCCGGAGGAGCCCGGGGCGGUGAUGGUUCGUCGUCGGAGGACGAGGAGGAGGCUAUGCUCCCGUCAGUGGGCGGCGGCAACGCUUGGAAGCCGAAGGGACUCGGCCAUGGCCCGCACGGGUCUGGGCGGCCGCAGGAUGGAGGAGCGGCGGCCGGCGGUCCACGGGGAUAGCCGGGAGGGCGAGCGGCGGCGAGCGGGAGGUCGCCGGAGGCCGUGGGAUGACGGCGCGCCCGAUCCGGAGUGGCGGUGGCGCGCGGGCCUCGAGCCCACCCGUGCUCGGUCUGGGCUAACCGAGGGCGGCCGCAGGGAGCAGGGCGGCGCCGGCGGCCCACGGGACUGACCGGGGCCGACGGUGACGACUCCGGGGAAGGCGGCAUAGUCGUCCAAAGGCGACGGCGGCCCGCGCAGGCGAUGCGGGACCAGGCUCGGCCUGAGCUAGGUCAGGCUCGGCCGCAGGGCGCCCAGGCCGCGACGGCGGCGCGUGGGGACGGCGGCGGCCGGCACGGCGGGACGGCGGAGGUCGGGGCCGCUGCUAGAGGUGGUGCUCGACAGUGAUGACAUUCCUGGGUUGCCCAGAUUGGUUCCACGGCAGGGAUGGUUGGGAAAGAAUGAUGGAGGGGUGGCCGGGUUGCUAGUUUUCCGGCGGCCGGGGCACCUGCCGGCGGCCGGGGUGCGCACAAGGGUUGGGCUGAAACUGGUUAGGGCACAGUUGGGAGACAAGGUCGGCCAGAUCUGGGGUUUCGUGCAUAGAAACCCUAGAUGCACAAUGUAUACAAAGUGUAAUUUUGCACAAAAGGCCACCGAAGCUUGGUAUGUCUUACCCAGUCCUUCAUAGUGGGUAACAAUCGCGUAUUCGCACCUCCAUAUUCGAUCUCGUGCGAUUCGGUACAUAAAAUAUGGGGACUUUUGCGAGAAUUGCAAUUAGUCACUUUAGACCCCUUUUCGAACAUCAUGCGAUAUCCGGCAAUCCGUUCAUCAAAAUUCUGAACGGAUUGCGCCAUCGCGUUCAGCAUGACGGGGACAAUAAACGUACGAUUUUGGUUCACAUCGAUCGGUCACGGAUUCGCGACGAAACCCGUCCGCUCUCCAAAUUCCAAAAACCACACACAUAUACCAAUGUGUAAUCCCGCUAAAUCCUAGAUUCAAAUUCAAAUUUGAAUCUCCUACUACUAGUAGGUACAUGUAACAUCCCUCACCUUACUCUAGGUCACAAACAUAGAGCACGAGGAGUCUCAUUAUGCAAGAACAGCAAAAAGCAAAAACCCUCUUUUCGAUAAAAUUUCUUUUUCUCGAAAACCGUGCAUCAGAUCUGAAAUCCGUCAGUGUCAUUGGUUCCAGAAUAGCUGAACCGAUCGAAACGAGCUAUUGGAUCGCUAUGAACGGAGUCCAAUACGUGCCAGAAGCCAACUCUACUCCGCGGCUUCUCCGGAAAACCAGAGUUACUAUUCACUUAAGUGAAAACUAAUAAUCGCGUAACUUCUCCAUUCUAGCUCAUUUUCUCCUGAAACUUGACGAGUGCUUAUGUAAUUAAAUUACACACAUAAACAUCAUCGACAGAGAGUUUAGUUGCACUGUAAAAAAAUCUCAGUCCUUUAAGGUGUUAUUAUGUUGUAACAAUUGCAAUAAAACCCUCUCUUUUCUCCAAUUUGCAGCAGACCUAUUUUUGCUGUCGGGUCCAAUGUGUAUCAGUACAGGCUGGGUGUUACCGGUUACACAAUCUCGCAGAGGCAAAUUCGAGAGCAAUUGCUCGGGUUUUGCAAAAGUGUACCGGUACACACCAGGGGUGUCACCGGUAACACAACUUCGCAGAGGCAAACCCAAGAGCAAUUUGUCUCGGUUUGCAGUGCUGUACCGGUACAACAUCAAUGUUGUACCGGUACACAAUGCCCAGACUUCGAUUUUAGUUCUUGUUCGACUUCUCUUCACGCCGAGCAAUACUGAAACCCAUCUAAUUCUUUUAGAACUCAUCGUUAACCCUUCCGACAUUGCUGGAAAGUUUAAUGGGACUUGUCCAACUAAUUCCUUCAGACACUUUAGUCAAUUUGGCUAAAGUCCGGAUUACUUUACCAUAGUUUCCGUAUGUUACACACACACACAUGGUAGAGAGAGAGAGAGAAAGAGAGAGAGAAGCUCUCUUCUCCCUCCCAAUCUCUUCUUUCUCUAUCUUGAUCUCUCCUAAACUUGGGGUUUUGGUGAAGAUGGAGCUCGAGAACGCGUAGAGAGCGGUGGGUCGAGCCCUUGAACGCUUGGAGGCUAGGCGCGCUUCCGACUCGAGGUUCGUUUUUGGGUUGAAAGCUUCAUUUGGAUUAAAUCAUUUAAAAUGGAUGUGUUGGAGAUCCUUAGAUAAUUCUAAACUAGUUAAUCAUGUUCUCCAUGAAUUUUUGAGGUAUUUGGAGAAAUAGAAAAUCUAGGGUUUAGAAAUUGGAGGUUUUAGGGUUUAAGGGUUUUGAUCGAAAUUGACCCUUUGGUUCUCUAUUUGAAGGAUAGAGGAGAGCCCCAAACAACCGCAAAUUGGAAAUUGGUGAACGUUUGGUGAUCAAUUAGAGUAACAAGCCGAACCGAACAACGUUUGCCACAAGAGUCCGAUUGAGAGUGUCUAGAAGCAAUCGGAAGCAUUGUGAGGCGGGUUGUGCUUCACCGAAGUGAUUAGAUCACUUCAAUGCCAAAGAGUGAAGUAUGAUUUUGGUGUUAUUGUUGAUGCAUGUAAUGGUAGUUUAAUUGUAAUUAUGAAUACAUGAGAUAUAUGCUAAAUAAUAUAUUGACUACCAUUGGACAAGGACAUAGACAUGUGCAAACAUAUAUGAUAUAUGUAUAUAUAUAUGUCUAGAUGUGAAUGGUGAACUUGGGUCGAUAAACUCUAGAAAGAUUAGAAAACUUAACAAGUGUGGCACCAAGGACUAGAUGGCAUGAAAACUAUGAAUCCUAGAUGUGGACAACUAUGAUAGAAAAUAACUGAUUGGAUAUUGAACCUAGUAUCAUUAAACAUAGGUUGAACAUUGAACCUAGAGUCGAGUGAAUCUAGGCGGGAAUGACAUAAAACCUAGUGUGGUUGAACCUAGGUUGUGAAUUAUAGUGGUAAGCUGGCCACUAGAAUAUGUAUGAGUCUAACCUAGAGAGGUUGACAUUAUAGGGUAUGUGACUAACCCUUGAGACAUGAAAAGUGGAUUUCGAAAUCCCAGGACUUGUGUAUAUCGAUAGUUCACAGCCGUGGGUGUAUGUGGCAGGUUCCUCUCUCACCGCAGGAACUUCGAGGUAUGUGAUUGUGGAAGAUUCUUGGCCGCGGGUGUACGUGGGCAUGUUUCUCUCCUACCGGAAGAAUCUUCGAGCGGUAAGGUGUAUGUGGCAUAUUCCUCUCCCUAUCGAGGAUCUCGGCUGUGGGUGUAUGCGGCAUGUUCCUCUCCCACCGGAGGAUCCCUGACUAUGGGUGUACGCAGUUUUGAGCGACCCGUUGGGCGACUUUAUUUGUGGAUUGAAGGCUGAAGUGUAUGUGGCAGGUUCCUCUCCUUAGGCCUGGAUGUGAGCGGUAUUCCGCUGAUGAUUGACUCGAGAGCGAGUUGGGUGACAUAGUUUGGCUAAGGUAAAUGAACCUUAGGAGCAAAUGGCAAAUGGUAUGGAUUAUGGAAUAGAUAGUAGAUACGGUAGAUCUAUUUGCAUGAGUUGCAUUAUUGCAUUUUGUGAGACAUAAGCAUAAUAGUUGUUAGUUGCAUGAAAUUAUAUGAUUAUAUAUAUUUGUUGGACUAACUUGUUUAUGUUGCCUCCUUUGGACCUGGUGGAUCGAGCGCUUCCCCUUGGGUGGCCGUACCCACUGGAAACUAUUUAUAUAGUUCUCAUCCCAAUCUUUUUCAGGUACACACGCGAGCAGCACGGCGGCGCGAGAAAAUAGCGUAGCUCGGUUGAUAGCGCCCUACUACCGAGACCAGAGAUAGCAGUACCCCGAGUCGUCCUAGCUUAGGGGUGUUGAGAAAAAGAAACAAUUUGUAAUAAGUUGACAGUAUUUGAAAGUAAACGAAUGUAAAACUAAUGUAAUGGGAUGUAGUGAGUUGAAUGCUUGUAAUAGCUUAGCAGUGAUGUUUUUUAUACCUUCUUUAUGCAAUCUAUGUAUGAAAUAUGUUCCUAGUUGGAACCUCUUGAUUUGUACUAUGGCGACGCCUUGGACGUACAGAAAAAACUCUGUCUGUUCGGCAGUCUGUCGAAGCGCCCGAAUCUGACCAAAGGGGCGGGUUACGGAGCGUGAGAAAUAUCUCUUAUUUAAUGAAUCUUAUUUUACUAGCAUAUUUUUCUAUUUUCGUUUUUUCUCUCUUUUAUGAUUGUAUCAGCUUUUGCUGAGAAGACGGAUUUAUGGUAAAAAUCCGAUUCGACACUUUCGUUGCAGAAUCCCAACAAUCGAUACUGGAUCAACAACAUUCGGUAUCAAAGCGGGUUGCAUAUUCUCAAAAUUCGAUACUGGCGCGAGUAUCGGAUUCUCAACAUUUGGUAUCUGUAAGGAAGUGAAUUCUCGAAAUUCGAGAGUUGUACUUCGUCCAGAAUCAAUUAAUUGUCUAGUGGGUAUGCUUCAGAAAAGCCGAAGAUGUCUAAAACCCAAAAAGUGCAUUGGACCUAUAGUCCACGAGAGCAGAUAGUGCAAAUCUGCACUUCUGCAGAUCAGGCUCUCGGGGACCGGUCCCUGACAUGAGGGACCGGUUCCCGUAAGCUUGCUGCGCGGGGAAAACCCUCUGCGCACAAGUCUGCUUUCGGGGACCGGUCCCUAACGGGAGAGACCGGUCCUCGUAAGCAGUGUGGAGUCCCAGUUGGGACCGGUCUCCCAGUGGAGGACCGGUUCCCGUAGGUGUCCUGCGAGAGCGUUGCUCUCGGGGACCGGUCCCUGGCGGGAGGGAUCGGUCCUCAUGUGCGUAGAAGCUGGCUGGGAGCUCCAGCCUGUGGGAGAAGCUCUCGGGGACCGGUCCUCCCGUAGAGGGACCAAUCCCCGUGUGCGAAAACUUCGCAGGCAGAGCAGUUUGAGAAAGGCAAAGUGGAGGGGCUUGGCUGCAAUUAUGCCAUUAGUAAGGGGUAUAGAGGGCAAAUAAUCCUCUCUCCCUCUCUCAUUUUCCCUCCUCACCCCUGUUCUCUCCCUCUCUCUCUCUAGGAAAGAAGAAGAAGAGGAGAAGAAGAGAAGAAGAAGAAGAAAAAGGAGAAGAAGAAGGAGGAGAACUUGAACGAGAUCCUCACCAUCAUCUUCUUCUCUUCCUCUCAACACUAUUGGAGCAAGCUCAAGAGGUGAGCUUCUAAACCCUAACAAUGGUAGAACCUAGGGUCGUCGAUUUCUAGCUUAUUAAUUAGGUCAAAUGGACCCCAAACAUGAUUAAUAGAUGAUUUAAGCUAGAAUCUAGAUUUUUGAGGGAGUGGUUUUGCUAUGAGGCAAACCUACGGCAUCCAAAUUGGGGUUUUGCUUAAUAGAGUGGUUUGAUCUCAAUUGAUGGCAUCUAAACCUAAUUGCUAGGUGUUUAAACGCGUGGGCGAAGACAGAUUGAGCAUUCGUCGAGUUCUUGUAAAGUUAUCGGCAAAACAAGGCCGAACGGGCUUCAUUUCAACCUAAGCGGCCGAGAUAGAUCGAAGCAAGUGCCGAGGAUCAUUCUUAGGACCUCUACGACAUAAAUCAUCUUCGAAAGGUGGGGGGUGUCAUCCCGAAGCAACUGAACUCCUUAUUAUGUCUUAGAACAUAUGAAAUUUCAUCUCUUGCAUAUGCAUUAUAGGAUUGCAUUGUAAUACCUUUUCCUUAUGCUUUCUAAAUAAUAACCUAGUGUGAGUUGAAUACUUGGUAAAUUGGAUAGGUAUGGAUUCGGUCGGAAAAUUGAAUCCUAUAGUGCUCAAAGAAAGAGAUGAGCUCGAUGAUGACUAGUGAUAUAACGAGUGGCAUAUAAAUGAUAUGUGAACCAAACGAGUGGCAUCUAAUGUAGUGUAUUUUCACACUAGUGGUACGUGAACAUAGGGAUAGGAGGAUUCCCUAGUGAACGACUCGUGAACAAAGAACUUAGUAUAGCUAAGCACAUAUGCAUGAUUGUCGGAAUAGUUAAGUUCCGAGAGAAUUAUUGGCCCUAGUUCGUAGGGUGUCCUCAAGUGGAGAGGAUAGAUCAAGCUCACGGUCUGUUAUUGGGGUGGUAUAGCUAUCCAUGUCGUCGAGUACUCCGGAGUGUCGGGCGAUCGGGACAGAGUUGAUGUCCGCAGACAAUCCCGGGUUUGAGAGCGAGUUGAGUCUCCCUACCCAACGGGAUGAAGACGUGAGUCGAGGGCGACCCCAAGGGAUUCGCCAUGGAUUGGGUAAAUAAAAGAAUAAACCGUCGUUGAACAUGGUUGAAUUGGACAUAGUAGCAUGAUUGUAAACCUUUACUAAAUGAUGCAUGCAUUCAUAUCCCUGAUUAUGGGCAUAGUAGCAUAGCUUUCCUAUUAUGUCAUUUACUGUUUUAGAUAUCUAUCUAUCUAUCUAUCUAUCUGUUGUUACUUUGCCCACUUGGACCUAGUGGGAAGAUCGGCGGAGUCGGCGGCCGAGCUCACUGGAAACUAUGGAAGAUAGUUCUCACCCCACUUUAUUUCAGGGUCGAGUGCGGGCGCGCCGGGCGAGGAUCGCGACAAAGGCAUUGCACCCGAGCAGUAGUAUAGUAGCUUCCUUUAUGCAUUAGAGUACCAUUUUGUAUCUAAAUGCUUUAUGUUUUUGGAAGAGCUAAUGAUGUAAUUGAGAUGAACAUGUAUUCAUUUUGGGAAGGAUGUAAUUAUAAAAAGAAUGCAAAUAUGAUGUAAUAGGUAGUAGAUCUCUCUUUAUUUCACUUGUAUUACUUGUGGAUUACUUGCUCUUAGUUGUAGGCACUAGUUGUGCCCUUCGUUGAUUGUGUACUUAUAGAAUUUAAAUUCCUGGGUAAAUUCUUGUACUCGAUCUGUUGUUGAGCCUUGGGCGGAUAGGGGAGGUGCUGUCCGUUCGGCGUCUGUUCGACGCGCCCGAAUCGGACCAAAUUGGUGGCGAUUUCGGGGCGUGAUAGAGGAAAAUGGUAUCAGAGCAAGUUAAGAACAAGUAAAGAGAGAGUCUAGGAUUGACCUAGGAGACCUUAGGUUGGACAACCGUAAGGUUAUAGGUGCGUGAGUGGAACGUGAACCUAUAACGGUGGCGGAAGUGAUUCGAUUGGGUCAAGAUUGGAGAUACGACUCCGGUAGUUGCUAGAGAUGGAUCCAAGUGGUAUUAGUUCUUGACUUGAGGUGGUUGUGUUGGCGGCCGACGACAUGACUUGUGUGCUUCCACCACCGUUAUAGGUUAGAACAAGUACACUUGUGUGCUUCCGCCCGAUUUUGCUGUUGAGUCAUAGUUGCGACGAAGCGAACGGGUUAAGAUAAUUAACCAAGUAUUGGCGUUUCGGGAGCUAAUGGCACCAAGGGGACGCCCUAGUACGAGAUCUACUCCGACACCGCCUCCUGAGGUGCCUGAGCAGGCUGAACCAAGCGAGAUAGAUCGAUUGCGGGCGCAGGUGACCGCAUUAACCGAUGUGGUGGCCUCGACGGUGACCGAAGACGGCAGUCCGCCCGCACCCUUGGUGCGUGUACCUGAAGCGGCUGAGGGUAAGGGGAUUGCGGCAGUCUCGGUGGCGGCACGUCCCCCGCCGGCAAUUGUUCCUCCGGCGGCAUCGGGAUCGGCGACACCCGAUGUGACGGCCGAACAUGUGGAAGGGGAGCGCUCGUUGGCGGCUCUUAUUAAGUUCAAGAAGUUCAACCCGCAAAUCUUUGAAGGGGAGAAGGUAGAGCCGGCAAUUGUCGAGUCAUGGAUUGACUCGAUGGAAACGCUCUUUGAAGAUUUGCGCACCUUAGAGAGGGACAAGGUGUAUCUUGCCACCAAGCGGCAAAGGUGUGGUGGAAAUGUGUAAAGCGAGAUCGGCCUUUCGAUCUUCCACCGAUGUUGUGGGAGGAGUUCAAGAGGGUGAUAUUCGCUAACUACUUUCCCGAUACGUUGAAGCGGAAGCUCCAGGAGAAGUUCUGCAAGUUGGAGCAGGGGGACCACUCAGUGGCGAAGUAUGAGCAGGAAUUCUCCCACAUCAUAGACUGUGUCCCGGAUGUAGUGAGAGAUGAUCGGGACCGGGCCGACUGGUUCUUACGAGGUCUUCGGCCAGGGAUCUACAGGCUGUGCAGAUACUCAAGCUCCUGACCUUUGCGGAGGUCUUCGACCGGGCGCUUUGGGCGGAGCAUGGUGACGCUCAUGUUCGAGAGAAGUGCGAGUUGCUGGCUGAAUCAAAGGAUAAUGGCAAAAUGCGCCAAGGUGGCGGUUUGGGGGGACAAGCAAGUUCCAAAAAGCCCCUGAAGUAUCCACGGACUCAAUACAGGGGCCGUGCGGGGCAACGGUGUGUCAUAUGCGGUGGUGGCCACCCGACGUCGCGAUGUGAGCAACGCUAGGGCAGGUGCUUUAAGUGCGGGCAAUCGGGGCACUUCGCACGUGACUGCCCGGGAGGGGGAGCUUCACCUGCUCCAUCUAGUGCAUCAGCGCCGGCAGUUCCGGCUUAUUAGGGAGGAGCUCCACCGGCGGCAGCAUCAGCAGAGCGCGCGAUGACCCUACGACAGCCCGAGAUGGUGCGUUCGGCCCCGAGCGAACGGGUAUUCGCCGCUCAGGUCCGAGUCGAAGAGCCUGCAGAGGUAGAGGAGCAUCGCCUUGUGGCAGGUAUGGUUUUGAUUAACGGAGUUCGCUCCAGGGCUAUAUUUGAUACAGGUGCCACACACUCAUUUAUCAGUAGAUCAUUCGCACGCAUGCAUGACAUAGUCAUAGAGGUGAGUGAGGGUAAGUGGCGAGUGGAGGGCCCUGGGUCGACAUUUAACACCUAUGCGGAGUGUUUAUCGUGUUCAGUACANUUCGCUCCAGGGCUAUGUUUGAUACAGGUGCCACGCACUCAUUCAGCAGUAGAUCAUUUGCACGCAUGCAUGAUAUAGUCAUAGAGGUGAGUGAGGGUAAGUGGCGAGUUGAGGGCCCUGGGUCGACCUUUAAUACUUAUACGGAGUGUUCUUCUUGUCCAGUACAAGUAGGUGAUUGGAUAAUGCCUAUUCGGAUGUUAGAACUCAAGUACCUUAAAGAGUUCGAUGUCAUAUUGGACAUGGACUGGCUCUUUAAGUAUCAUGCAACGAUUGAUUGUAAGAACAGGGUGAUCACAUUUCGAGAGCCAGGACAGAAGGAGUUCACUUAUCGGGCUUGUCGGAGCUCGUGCUUCACUGCGACGUUAUCGGCGACGAGAGCUAGAAAGUUGGUCAACAGUGGUUGCGCAGCAUUCUUGGUGACUGUUGUGGAAGUGGACCGAGCAGCUCCGACCUUGGAAGAGCUGUUAGUGGUAUGGGAGUUCCCCGAUGUAUUUCCCGAAGAGUUACCGGGGAUACCGCUGGAUCGUGAGAUCGAGUUCGUCAUAGACUUGAUUCUCGGUACUGUGCCGAUCUCGAAGGUUCCGUACCGAAUGGCGUCGGCGGAACUGAAAGAGUUGAGGAGUCAGUUACAGGACCUCCUCGACAAGCAAUUCAUCUGACCAAGUGUAUCACCGUGGGGAGCCCCAGUGUUGUUUGUGAGGAAGAAGGACGGAUUGUUUCGACUCUGUGUGGAUUAUCGAGAGUUGAACAAAGUCACGAUCAAGAAUAAGUACCCACUUUUCCGAAUCGAUGACUUAUUCGAUUAGCUGCAAGGGUCGUGUGUGUACUCAAAGAUAGAUUUGCAGUCCGGCUACCACCAACUGAAGAUCAAGCCGGUGGAUGUACAGAAAAUCGCGUUUCGUACGCGGUAUGGGCACUAUGAAUUCACGGUCAUGCCAUUUGGGCUUACGAAUGCCCCGACGGCGUUCAUGGAUUUGAUGAACCGUGUCUUCAGGGAGUGCAUGGAUCGAUUUGUCGUGGUCUCCAUAGACGACAUAUUGAUCUAUUCUCGCAACGACGAGGAACAUGCCGAGCAUCUGAGGAUAGUGCUUCAAGUCCUCCGGGAGGAGAAGCUAUAUACUAAGCUAAAGAAAUCUGACUUCUGGCUCCAAGAGGUCGCAUUUCUAGGGCAUGUAAUUUUCGAGGGUGGAGUUUCUGUAGACCCGAGGAAAGUUGAGGCGAUCAAGGAUUGGCCGCGCCCGACGAAUGUCGCGGAGGUUCGAAGCUUCGUGGGCCUGGCAGGCUAUUAUAGGCGGUUUGUGGAAGGCUUCUCAAAGAUAGUGAUUCCACUUACCCGUUUGACCCAGAAAGGCACCAAGUUUGUUUGGAGCGAGGAGUACGACCGGAAUUUCAAAGAGUCGAAGGAAAGAUUAACUUCGGCUCCGGUGCUCGCUUUACCAGUGCAGGGUGAAGACUUUGUGGCUUACAGCGACGCAUCCUAUCUAGGAUUGGGGUGUGUCCUGAUGCAGGGCAGGAAGGUAAUCGCCUAUGCGUCCCGUCAGCUGAAGGGCUAUGAGAAGAACUACCCCAUCUAUGAUUUGGAGCUAGCGGCGGUGAUUUUCGCCUUAAAACUUUGGAGGCACUAUUUGUAUGGUGCGCAUUGCGAGAUCUACACCGACCACAAGAGCUUGAAAUAUCUGUUUAUACAGAAAAAGCUUAACAUACGUCAGCGGCGGUGGUUAGAACUACUAAAGGAUUAUGAUGUUGAUAUUUUUUACCACCCGGGGAAGGCGAAUGUGGUCGCAGAUGCGCUUAGCAAAAAGUCAGCGGAGAACCUCGCUAUGUCGGUUGCAAAUCAAACACCCCUAUGGCUGGACAGGGAGCAAAUGAACCUUGAGGUGGUUGCUCUCGAGAUUUUGGCUCAGUUGAUGGCGCUCGUUGUCCAACCGACCUUGUUGGAGAGAAUCAAGAAUCUGCAACCCGCGGACCCAGAACUCCAAAAGGUGCGGCGCAACAUCGAGAAGGGUCAUGGCGGCGAUUUUAUGGUAGACGCCGAUGGUGCACUUUGAUUCCAUAAUCGAUGGUGUGUGCCGAACAAUGAGGAGAUUCAAAAGUUAAUCUUGCAAGAGGCACAUUGGUCGCCUUAUUGUGAUCACCCGGGCGGCACCAAAAUGUAUCAAGAAUUGAAAAUGCACUAUUGGUGGCCUGGAAUGAAAGGUGAUGUUGGACGCUUCAUGGCGAAAUGCUUAGUAUGCCAACAGGUGAAAGCGGAGCGUCGAUUUCCAGCGGAAAAACUUCAAGGCCUACCAAUUCCCAUUUGGAAAUGGAAAGAUGUGUCGAUGGACUUCAUGGUUGGGUUGCCUCGUUCAUCGGGGGGCCACGAUGCAAUUUGGGUGAUUGUGGAUCGUUUGACGAAGUCGGCUCACUUUUUGCCGAUCCACACUACGUAGCCAGGUGACAAAUUGGCGCAUGUUUACCUCGACGAGAUAGUGAGGUUGCACGGGGUGCCGAAGUCGAUCGUGUCGAAUUGCGACCCCCGAUUCACCUCACACUUCUGGAAGUGCCUACAGGAAGCCCUUGUCAUACGGCUUGAUUUCAGCACCGCAUUUCAUUCUCAGACAGAUGGGCAAACAGAGAGGACUAUUCAAACUCUGGAGGAUAUGUUGCGAGCGUGUGUCAUCGACUAUAAGGAAAAUUGGUGUGAUUACCUGCCGAUGGCCGAGUUCGCCUACAACAAUAGUUACCAUACUAGUGUAAGAUGGCACCGUUCGAAGCUCUUUAUGGGCGGAAGUGUCGAUCUCCUAUACACUGGAGUGAUGUGGGUGAACAUGCAGAGUUCGGCCCCGAUGUUUUGCGAGAAGCAGAGGAGAAAGUCCGCCUUGCUCGCAGGAGAUUGCUCAUGGCACAAUCGAGACAGAAAAGUUAUGCAGAUAGGCGCAGUCGAGACAUAGAGUUCGCGGUGGGCGAUCGCGUGUUCUUGAAAGUUUCGCGAUGCGGGGUGUGAAGCGAUUUGGAGUACGGGGAAAGCUAAGUCCCCGGUACAUCGGACCUUAUGAGAUAUUAGAGCGAGUAGGCACGGUGGCCUAUCGGCUUGCCCUGCCGCCGAAGCUCGCCGAUGUGCAUAAUGUAUUCCACGUCUCCAAUCUUCGCAAGUACAUCCAUGACCCGGAGCACGCGAUGUUAUAUGAACCGCCGGGACUUCAAGAAGACUUGAGCUACGAGGAGUUUCCGAUGAUGAUUAUCGCCCGAGAAGUGCGAAAACUGCGAAAUCGAGAAAUUCCCUAUGUGAAGAUACGGUGGAGCAAUCAUGACGAUCACGAAGCCACCAGGGAACUCGAGGAGCUGAUGAAAAAGCAUCAUCCCCAUCUAUUUGAGGAUCGAGGUAGAAGUUUAAGUUUGAGAUGAGAAUUGGAUUAGUUUCGAGGACAAAACUCCUUUUUAGGAGGGGAGGAUGUAAGGAAGUGAAUUCUCGAAAUUCGAGAGUUGUACUUCGUCCAGAAUCAACUAAUUGUCGAGUGGGUAUGCUUCGGAAAAGUCGAAGAUGUCUAAAAUCCAAAAAGUGCAUUGGAGUUGUAGUCCACGAGAGCAAAUAGUGCAAAUCUGCACUGCUGCAGAUCAGGCUCUCGGGGACCGGUCCCUGGCAUGAGGGACUGGUUCCCGUAAGCUUGCUGCGUGGGGAAAACCCUCUGCGUACAAGUCUGCUCUCGGGGAUCGGUCCCUAGCGGGAGAGACCAAUCCACGUAAGCAGUGUGGAGUCCCAGUUGGCACCGGUCUCCCAGUGGAGGACCGGUUCCCAUAGGUAUCCUGCGAGAGCGUUGCUCUCGGGGACCGGUCCCUAGCGGGAGGGACUGGUCCCCGUGUGCGUAGAAGCUGGCUGGGAGCUCCAGCCUGUGGGGGAAGCUCUCGGGGACCGGUCCUCCCAUAGAGGGACCGGUCCCCGUGCGCGAAAACUGCCCAGGCAGAGCAGUUUGAGGAAAGCAAAGUGGAGGGGCUUGGCUGCAAUUAUGCCAUUAGUAAGGGGUAUAGUGGGCAAAUAACCCUCUCUCCCUCUCUCAUUUUCCCUCCUCACCCUUGUUCUCUCCCUCUUUCUCUCUAGAAAAGAAGAAGAAGAAGAAGGAGAAGAAGAAGAGAAGAAGAAGAAGAAGGAGAAGAAGAAGAAGGAGGAGGAGAACUUGAACGAGAUCCUUACCUUUAUCUUCUUCUCUUCCUCUCAACACUAUUAGAGCAAGCUCAGGAGGUGAGCUUCUAAACCCUAACAAUGGUAGAAACUAGGGUUGUGGAUUUCUAGCUUAUUAAUUGGGUCAAAUGGACCUCAAGCAUGAUUAAUAGAUGAUUUAAGCUAGAAUCUAGAUUUUUGAGGGAGUGGUUUUGCUAUGAGGCAAACCUAGGGCACCUAAAUUGGAGUUUUGCUUAAUAGAGUGGUUUGAUCUCAAUUGAUGGCAUCUAAACCUAAUUGCUAGGUGUCUAAACGCGUGGGCGAAGACGGAUUGAGCAUUCGUCGAGUCAUUGUAAUGUUAUCGGCAAAACAAGGCUGAACGGGCUUCGUUUCGACCUAAGCGGCCAAGAGAGCAUCGAAGCAAGUGCCGAGGAUCAUUCUUAGGACCUCUACGACGUAAAUCAUCUUCGAAAGGUGGGGGGUGUCAUCCCGAAGCAACCGAACUCCUUAUUAUGUCUUAGAACAUAUGAAAUUUCAUCUCUUGCAUAUGCAUUGUAGGAUUGCAUUGUAAUACCUUUUCCUUAUGCUUUCUAAAUAAUAACCUAGUGUGAGUUAAAUACUUGGUAAAUUAGAUAGGUAAGGAUUGGGUCGGAAUAUUGAAUCUUAUAGUGCUAAAAGAAAGAGAUGAACUCGAUGAUGACUAGUGAUAUUACGAGUGGCAUAUAAAUGAUAUGUGAACAAAACGAGUGGCAUCUAAUGUAGUGUAUUUUGACACUAGUGGUACGUGAACAUAGGGAUAGGAGGAUUUCCUAGUGAACGACUCGUGAACAAAGAACUUAGUAUAGCUAAGCACAUAUGCAUGAUUGUCAGAAUAGUUGAGUUCCGAGAGAAUUGUUGGCGCUAGUUCGUAGGUUGUCCUCAAGUGGAGAGGAUAGAUCAAGCUCACGGUCUGUUAUUCGGGUGGUAUAGCCAUCCAUGUCGUCGAGUACUUCGGAGUGUCGGGCAAUCGGGACAGAGUUGAUGUCCGCAGACAAUCCCGGGUUUGAGAGCGAGUUGAGUCUCCCUACCCAACGGGAUGAAGAUGUGAGUCGAGGGCGGCCCCAAGGGAUUCGCCAUGGAUUGGGUAAAUAAAAGAAUAAACCGUCGUUGAAUAUGGUUGAAUUGGACAUAGUAGCAUGAUAGUAAACCUUUACUAAAUGAUGCAUGCAUUCAUAUCCCUGAUUAUGGGCAUAGUAGCAUAGCUUUCCUAUUAUGUCAUUUACUAUUUUAGAUACAUAUCUUUCUAUCUAUUUGUUGUUACUUUGCCCACUUGGACCUAGUGGGAAGAUCGGCAGAGUCGGCGGCCGAGCCCACUGGGAACUAUGGAAGAUAGUUCUCACCCUACUUCAUUUCAGGGUCGAGUGCGGGCACGCCGGGCGAGGAUUGCGGCAAAGUCAUUGCGCCCGAGCAGUAGUAUAGUAGCUUCCUUUAUGCAUUAGAGUACUAUUUUGUACCUAGAUGCUUUAUGUUUUUGGAAGAGCUAAUGAUGUAAUUGAGAUGAACAUGUAUUCAUUUUGGAAAGGAUGUAAUUAUAAAAAGAAUGCAAAUAUGAUGUAAUAAGUAGUAGAUCUCUCUUUAUUUCACUUGUAUUACUUGUGGAUUACUUGCUCUUAGUUGUAGGCACUAGUUGUGCCCUUCGUUGAUUGUGUACUUAUAGAAUUUAAAUUUCUGGGUAAAUUCUUGUACUCGAUCUGUUGUUGAGCCUUGGGCGGACAGGGGAGGUGCUAUCCGUUCGGCGUCUGUUCAACGCGCCCGAAUCGGACCAAAUUGGUGGCGGUCUGAGGGAGUGAUAGUAUCAGAGCACAAGGUUACCGAUUUGUGGAAGAGAUCGACGGAGAUGGCCAUGAAAUUCGAAAUCGAGAAUGUCACGCCUCGGAUAUCACGUUCCCCGGGCCCGCCGACAAAUCCGCUGUAUACAAAGGAAUUUUCCCUGUAUAGGAAGCGAAGCUGUAACUGUACCUAUAAAAAUACAACACUACAACUAGUAGUAUAGAGCUGCUAGGGAAAAAAAACAUGCAUAUAUAAUAAAAAUGGAUCAGUACAUACACAGUAUCCUGGUACAAAAACACUCGCUCCAGUGAGGUAUAACAUCCGUAUGUAAUGAACCAAAAACUACAACUACCUGGUACUCCACUAGCUCUGGCUUGUUUGGUAGGGUUUUAACUCGCGAUGCUCUUGCCACGAUUAGGAUCAGCAGCAGCCGACGACGAUGGCUCUGCAAAAUGAAAAAGAAGAACAGGGCGUGAGAACUACUGUAUAAACAAGUAGUUCUCAGUGGGUGCCGCCCUCAACAAGGUCGGUCCACCCACUAAGUCUACAGAAGGGAGCAAGAAUAGUAGAAAAUGCUGGAAGAAAAUCUACAGCUACAAAGCACUACACUAUCAUGCUCUACUCUAACCAACUGUAGUAAAUGUCAAUUCUGACCCAAUCCAACUGGGACUGUAAGCCUACCCGUCCCUGGGACUUUGAACACACCUGUCCCGCCCAGUUGCGACUAUAUAGCUACCUUCACACUAAUCGGUCCGUGGAGAGCAAGUCCAACCUGCACGAACGACACCAACGCGAAAGCACAACGCCCGUCUCCGGAGUGGCACUCGUGGGAGCUACCCAACCGAGUAUGCAGCGUAUCUCUGAUGAGCUCAAUCAGGCUCUCAUAAGCCAAAGUCAAGCAAUAGGGUCUAACCGGUCUAACAACCAACAGGUCACGUGCCUUCAGCACAAUCUGACGCCAAAACGGCGAUAGGGGUCCACCGUCAACCCCGACGGCCCCCAACAGUCAGGAACAGUCUGAACACUAUUGUAAAAAUACACUCGGCAUCUCAGCGUGAGCGUAACUGAAAUCUAAACUACCUGGGGUAUCCACCACACUGAUACUGCAGUGAUACAAAAUAACAACGGCUUCUAAAGCUAAAUCAGGUAGUUUAAGCAUAUGACAGGUCAUAAUCGUUGUUUUCUCCUAAGUCAAAUUCCAGUCCAACAUGUGCUAAUAGAUACAUGCAACGAGGAAGCUCCAAUUCAGAUUUUACACGGAAUAUGCCAAAAUUCAUGAACUGAGCAAAAUCUAUCAACACAACAAUACAUGUCGACCAACUACAUACUUAGAAGACAAACCGACAUUUAAUCCACCUCGAUAGCUAAUCCCAAUCCGGCGCGACGUCGAGAAUGGCGGAAUCGCACCCUCGCCCGACCUCCUCACGAUGCUACGACGACGAAGACACGCUCGAACGGCACCGCGGCGCGACGUCGGCGAAACUCGAACUCCACCCGAGCUUUUCCUUGCUCGGCCGAUGCUAGAGAGAGAGGAGAAGAAACAAGUAGAAUACUCUCUCUCAGCCUCUCUACACAUGUAAAUAGUGAAAGGGUGGAGUGGUGACACGUACGAGGCACGAAAUUACCAAAAAGCCCCUUACCUACUCGGUGUACCGGUACACGGGCAAAUGUACCUGUACAAAUAGCAACCUGAGAGCAGCUGCGUAAAAUUUGUCGAAGUGUACCGAUACACCCCUGAUGUUGUACCGGUACAGAAAGUGUACCGGUACGCCUUGAUGGUUGUACCGGUACAACAAGCAGAAAAUCUGCUGUUUGUAGAUUCCAAUGCCAAGUCCUGCUCCCGCGUCCCCGUUGAGUCCGUUUUGCGUCUAUUUCGCGCCAACGUGACUCGGACUUGUCCCGACACUCUCCAGAGCUGUCGACAAGCCUCUCCUGCUGAACACCAGGGAUACCACAGAGAAGUUUGACGGCAAGAACAAUUUCAGAUUAUGGCAGAAUAAAGUACGGGCGAUCCAUGUACAACAAGAGUUAGAUGAGACGUUGAACGGGAAGGAGGCAAAGCCGGCGGAGGUCACGGAUGUGGCAUGAACGAAGAUGGAGCGGAAGGCAUUGAGCAUGCUUCAUUUAUCAUUAGCAGAUGAGGUUCUUUACAACAUAGCCAAUGAAACAACAUUGGCGAAGUUGUGGAAGAAAUUGGAAGAUCUGUAUAUGACCAAAUCUGUAACAAACAGGUUGUAUUUGAAGCAGCGACUGUUUAUGCUGCGGAUGCAAGAACCUGCGAGCCUACCUGAGCACUUAAACUAGUUCAACAAGAUGGUGGCCUAGUUGACUAGCAUCGGAGUCAAUCUGGAUGACGAGGAUAAGGCGCUGAUUUUACUAUUUUCGCUACUAGUAACAUAUGAGCAUCCGGUGACCACGUUGUUUUAUGGCAAGAAGACCAUAAGCGUGGAGGCGGUCACGUCGGCGCUUCUCUCGAAUGAGAUGCGGAAGAUGACUCAAGAGUCUGACACGCAAAGUCAGGAUGUAGGACUGGUAGUGAGUGCGAAGAAAAAGGCGACAAUAUCGGCGACCGGAGAUCGACAGAAGAAGCCGCUAUCUGAGGUGGAGUGCUUCUACUGUCACAGGAAAGGGCAUAUCAAGCGCAAUUGUUGAAAACUUCAGGAUAAUAUGAAGGAGUUAAAGCGAUAGAAGGAGAAAACUGUUGUGAACCAGGAUGAGACAGUAUCAGCGACGGCGUAGGCGGCAGAGUCGGAGACAAUUGAUUUUGAUGUGCUAUAUGCGCCAACCGAAGGUGCGAAAAUUUCGGAUGAUGCUUGGGUACUCAAUUCGGCGUGUUCUUUUCACGUCUGUCCGGAGAAAAAGUCUUUUGCCACCUAUAAGGCAAUUAAGGGUGGGAAGGCUCUGAUGGUGAAUGGGACGGCGUGCAAAGUUUUAGGAGUCGGCACGGUGAAGAUCCGAAUUCACGAUGGGGUCGUCAGGACGCUGAUGGGUCUGCGGCACGUUCUUGAUUUGAAGCGGAAUUUGAUUUCGUUAGGUGCGUUGGACUAGAAGGGUAGCGAUUUUUCAGCUUUAGGUGGAGCAAUGAGGGUCCGAAAGCGAGAUCGGGUCGUGUGCUAGGUGAACAAGCGUGAGAACUUAUACGUUUUGAACGGAUGCACAGUAAGAACGAAAGCGAAGACAGUUUGGGUUCCAAAAGUUCGCAGAGGUGCAGUCGCUUGAGGCGGAGCGGCGGAUGUGGCGAUAACAAGCGAAAAAGACAAGCUCAAGGUGGAGCUUGCAUGGUGAGCUCGAUGCAAGACUAGAAAUCCAACCAAGGUGGAGAAUGUUAGGAUUUGGUUAAAUUUGUAGUUUAUUUUCUAGUUAGAUAAGAAUUAAUAUUUAAAUAUGUUUGAGAUAAAUUAAGAUUUAAAUAUUAAUUAGAGUAUGAAUCUAACUAGAUUAGGAUAAAUAUUUAAAUCUAUUGAAGAUAAAUUAAUUAAUAUUUAAAUAUUUAUUGGAGUAGGAAUCCUAAAUAUACUAGGAUUGGGGUACGUUUUGGUAGAGCUAUAUAAAUAGCUCUUGAUGGGAUGCUUGGAGAGAGUACCGUGAGAGAGAGUGCCUUCUUGGGUGAAAUCGUACCAGGAGAGAGAAAGUCAUGGUUGAGUGCAGCUAGUCCACAGGUGCACGUGAAAAAUUGUCUUCUUUGUGGGUUUAUAGAAGACGAGAGAAGAGUAGGAGAGAUCAAAAAGAGGGCUCGAGUUGUAGCUACUCUGUUGCAGAAGAGGAUUCAGGUGUAUUCUUCUAUUAUUUAAUGAAUCUUAUUUUACCUGCAUAUUUUUCUAUUUUGGUUUUUUCUCUCUUUUAUGAUUGUAUCUGAUUUUGCUGAGAAGAUGAGUUAUGGUUAAAACCCGAUCCGACGCUUCCAUUGCGGAAUCCCAACAAUUGAUACCGGAUCAACAACAGUCGGUAUCGGAGUGGAUUGCGAAUUCUCAAAAUCUAGUACUGGGGCAAAUACCGGAUUCUCAAUAGUAUUUGUCUUUUCUUGCAAAAAAGAACAUCAGUAAUGCCAAACAAUGCUUUGCAGUUUGUUACACUAUUAACCUUUCCUCUAAUUUCUAGCAUAUUGGACAACAAACGUAUACUAAGGGCUUGUUUUGUUCGAAGUCGGAAUCGGAAUCAGAAUCGAAAUCGAAAUAAGCUGGAAUCAGAAUCGGAUUGACUCAUUACCUAAUUCUAUUUGGUUCAUCACCUGAAUCGGAAUUGGAAUCGGAAUAAAUCAUUCCCAUUAUCGGUGUUUGGUUUAGGUAGAUAUAAAAAACGUAAUCAAAUUAAUAUACUAACUUUAUCUUUAUAAUAUAUUAAUUUAAAUUCAAAUUGAAAAUUAAAUAUUAAAAAUUUACAUCAAAAUUUUGAAAUAAUGUCAAAACUUUAUAUAUAUAUAUAUUUUUUAAAGAAAUUAAACUUUGAAGAUGAGUGGAUAAUUCAAAAUAUAAAACUAAAUUUUGAUUUAUUCAAAUUCAAACUUUAAAUUAUAAUUUGAAUCCAUAAAUUUAAUGUAGUGUCCCGGGGGUUUGGUAUCGGAUUGGUUUCAGUAUUAGCGAUUGGUCGACACAUCUGUAGAAUGUCGGACGGAAUCGGAGUUAUUUUUGCCCAAAUUGGAUGCAAAAACGGACUCGGUGCACUCAAAUAAGAAAAACUGGAGUUUUGCCAGUUUCGGGCACCGAGAAUAUGGUUUGGGUCGCCGAGAACUUGAGUGCUGAACUGAGCUGAAACUUGAAGCCAAUUCGGAUCCUGUUUUCGGGCGCCCAGAAGUGGGCCCGAAUGAUUUUUUUGGGAAUAUCGUUUGCGUUGACACGUGUAUGGUGGUAGGUGAGGUACGUCGGAUCACGUUAGGGGCACAUCAGACCACAGGCGGAGGAAUCGAUAAGGGAGCUUUGUAUGUCCUGGAGGUUUCGGACGCCCAGAAGUGGGUUUCGAGCGCCCGAAAGUGCAGAAUUCUGCAGGGACAGCAGGUUAGUGUUUCUUAUUCUUGGGGCUUAUUAGACCAUCCCACCUCCUUAUAAAAGCACAAGGUCGAUCCCCUGAGAUGAUUUUUCACCCUCUUUCACAGUGGAGCCUCGAAUUUGCAUUUUAGCCCUCCAAAUUCUCCAAUUUACACAAUUCCACCUUGAGGAAUGCAGUUUCUGUAGAUUUCCAGCAGCGACCUUCGGCGUUUUGACACGUGUGCGACGUAGGGAGCUCCGAUUGCUGCGAAACUUGGUUUGGUGGUUAGUAGACUUCUUGGAGUUUUCAUGGAGCCUAUUUUGACAGCAUUUGAUUGAGGUUUGUAAGGUCAAUUUGGUAUUUUUCUGAGCUGCUAUUAUGCUUGAGCUGAAUUGAAGUUUUUAUGGUUUUCUUGGAUCAACUUUUAGAAGGAGCUGGAUUUUCAACCUGAGAUUAUUGUUCCAUCAUUCUCCACUCGUUUUGGGACCUUCCUUCAUCUGGUUUGAGCAUUAGAAGGUGAGUUUGACAUUGAGAUUAUGGUGAAAUUAAGCUUAAGUGCUAAAAUUAUGGGUUUUGAUGGAAUUUUUGGGUUUUUGUGCUUUGAUCCUUAGAGAGGCUAGUUGCUGAGUUGUUGCUAGUCUUGGAAGGGUUUCUUUUAGCGUUUUCUUGCUGUUGUCGAGCUCGCACUAGAGGGGGGGUUAAUGAUAUGCUUACCGGAUUCUACAGUUUUCCUCCUAAGAUUAGUUGAUGUCAGCAUGUAUUAUUUUUAGUCUUUGUAUGUCAUGUUAUUUUAGCUCAAAUUCAUUGAUUUGCUUGCUUAUUGAAAUCUAAAUUUGGAGCAUAAAGUAGUGAUUUAGAUAAAGUAUACCUAUUGGACUUGGAAUUGACUUAGGAGAAAACUAUCGAUUCUACACCAUCAUUUUCUGAAACUACCAGAUUUAGCUCUAGGAGCCGUAGUUUGUUUGUAUUGCCGUAGUUUGUGGGUGGUGGAUAUCCAGAAUAGUGUAGAAUGCAUUUACGCUCGUGCUGGGAUGCCGAGUUUAUUUUUAUAGUAGUAUAUAGUCUGUUUUGGACUCUCGGGUGCCAUUGUGGUUGACGGUGGAUUCAGUUUGCAAUUUUUGCAUCGUAUUGUGCUGAGAGCAUAUUUAUUAUGGUUAUAGAUCAGUUAGACCCUUCUGUUUUGACUAUAGCCUGUGAGCGCCUAAAUGAACUUCGCAAAGACACUUAUAAUGUCACACCCCGGAUUACUUGUUUUCACGGGCUCGCUAACAGACCUGUCGUAUACAUAGGUAUUUUUUCUGUAUACGAAGCGAAAAAGUAGAAGUAUCUAUAAUCAUACAAUACCACAAACAGUAGUAUAGAGCAGCUAGAAAAAAAAAAUCAAAUAUAUAAACUGUGGUUCAAUACAUAUAUGUCAUCCAGGUAUACAAACACUCGCUCUGGCGAGAUAUAACAACUAUAUGUAAAGACCAAAAAACUACAACUACCUGUAGCUAGUGCUCCUCUAGCUCUGCGACGCGACUGGAAGGGCUCUAACUCGCGACGCCCUUGCCACGAUCAAGAUCAGCAACAGCAGUAACCGAAGGCGACGGCUCUGGAAAAACAACGGUAACAACAGGGCGUGAGAACUACUGUAAAAAUAAGUAGUCAUCAGUGGGUACCGCCCUCAAACUCAUCAGUCCACCCACUAAGUCUACAGGGAUAAAUAGUAAUAGUAAAGAAAGCUGAAACAAAUCUACAGCUAAUGCCACUAUACUAUCAUGCUCUAAAUCUAACCAUCUGUAAAACAGUGUCAACUCAGACCCAAUCUCAAAUAAGGACUAUAAUCAUACCCGUCCCUAGGACUGUGAACACACCCGUCCCGCCCGGUCGCGACUAUACAGCUACCUCCACACUAACCAGUCUGUGGCGAGUAAGUCCAACCUGCACAAACGACACCAAUGCAAAAGCACAGCGCUAGUCUCCGGAGUGGCACUCGUGGGAGCUACCCAACCGAGUAUGCAGCGUAUCUCUGUCGAGCUCAAUCAAGCUCUAACAAGCCAAAGUCAAGUAGCUAGGGUCAAAACAGGUCUCGAAACCAAACCCACGUGCCCUCGGCACAAUCUGAGACCAAAACAGGAAUCUGGGUCCACAGUCCACCCCGACGGCACCCGACAAUCCGAAGUAGCCUAGACUCUACUGUAAAAAUGAGCUCGGCAUCCGAGCACGAGCGUAAAUGCAUUCUAAACUACCCCGGAUAUCCACCACACUGAAAUAGCGGUGAUACAAUCAAACCACGGCUCCUAGAGCUAAAUCAGGUAGUAGAAUCAUAUGACUGGUCGAAUCGCUGGUUUUCUCCGAAGUCAAGUUCCAAGUCCAACAUGUAUAUUCAUAUAAUUAUUAAUCAUACUCCCAAUUCAGAUUUCAUAUAUGCUACAAUCAACGAAUUUGAGCUACAACAUGAUAUACAAGAACCGAAAUCAUACAUGUCAACUACAAGCACUUAGGAGCAAAACCGAUGAAACACCUACCUCAAAUGCUCUUUCCUGGCACUAAGGAGAUCUCGGAACUGCUGCGAGACUCAGCCGAAAUCACACCAAAACAGCAACUGGCAUACGUGAAGGAUCUAGCAUCGAAAACCACAAAAAUUCAAUAAUUCAGCACUUAAGCUUAAAUUAGCUCAAAUACAAUGCUAAUUUCACUAGAUUAUCUUCAAAUCAGCAGUAGCAAGGUUCCCUCAGCAGUGAAUUGGAUAUAGAAAGUUUCUUAGGUUCAAGACUACCCUUCUCCCAAGAUCUGAACCCAAGAUAACCAAGUUGCAUCAAUGACAAUGCUAAUUUCAGCGCUUAAGCUUAAUUAACCUAACUCCAAUGUCAAAACUCACCUAAUCACAUCCGAAUCUAGUGAGGAGGGUCUCAAAUCUAGUAGAGUAAACUGAGAUAUCUAACUCAGGUCCAAACUUUCCUUGCUUCCCAAGAUAGCAUCAAGAAAACUCAAAAAAAUAAAUUUUCAGCACAAAGUCACCAGCAGUCUAGAAAAAUAUAGAAUCGACCAAGCUAACCUCAACGAAAAUCUACAAUUCUAGGCUUCGUGGAUUCCUUUAGAAGUCUAGAAUCCAGCAAACCAAGUUUCACUGCAAUCCGACCUUCCAAUUGAAAGAUUGGAUGAAAUCCGAAAAAAUUCGAGGAGUGGAGGAGAAAUCAGAGGUGCUAAUGUGAAGAGAGAGUGAAAAGAGUUCACCAGGGUCACUCUCUACCUAUUUAUAGGGUGCUGGAAUGGUAGAAUAAGCCCCAAGAACAGCUGCUGCAAUCUGGUGUCCCUGCAGACUCGGGCAUUUUCGGGCGCCCGAGCCCACAUUAUGGGCACCCGAAUCCUCCAGGCUACACAAAGAUUCCUCCUCGGACUGUCCACCUGCGGUGUGCUACGCCCGUAUCCGGCUCCGGCGGACCUUACCAACCACCUGCCACGUGUCAGCACAAACGAUACUCACGAGAUGAACUUUUCGGACCCUCAUCCGGGCGCCCAAAACAUGGACCCGAAUUGGCUUCCAGUUCUGCUUAGUUCUGCACUCAACUUCUGGGCGACCCAAAACAUAUUCUGAGCGCCCGAAUCUGGCAAAACUCCAGUUUUGCUUAUUUGAGUGCGCCGAGUCCAUUUCUGCAUCCAUUUCGCGCAGAAACGAUUCCGACUCAGUCCGACACUCUCCAGAUGUGUCGACCAGUCACUAACACUGAAGCCAAUUCUAUCCAAAGCUCAGAAAUACUACAUGUAAACUCAGUUGGGUCGCACCCACGAAUGCCAUUCCGAAAUGAGGUUUUAGUGCGAUGAGAUCGCAGUUUCUGUUUGGACGGUUCUUGAGCUCGAUUCAGGUAGGGUGGGUCCGUUUGGACAGCCCGUGUGAGAUUGGGUUAGUGGUAGUUAGUGAUGCCUUGCUCUACCUUCAGUGAAGUUGUGACGUGAAUUGGAUGAGUCAUUAGCAAAAGAGGUUUCAAAUAUUCUGUCUCAAAGUAUCAAGAAAUCUCCACCAUCAGUCCAGAAUAAAUAUGAACCAAAUUGUCAAUAAGUCAAGACUAACAUAAUUGGAUGGGAGUUCGAAACACAAUUUCUCAUUCAUAUUUCAAAGAAACUUUGAAUAACAUUUGAAUAUCAAAUCGAUUUAUAUGUGCUGCGGGUGGAAAUACACAAUCAAAUUUAAAAAAAAUGUAGAAUUGAUAUAAGACGGGCAUAACCGAGGUUGCUCUGGAGACAAUAUCUUUUCAGUAGAAGUGAAUGAUAUUGUUGAGAAAUAAAUUAUCAUUUAAAAUUUUCAUUUUUUAUUUUUAAAAUUUGUAUUUUAGUUAAUUUGUUUUAGAGAUAAGCUAAUGAAGGUUCGAGUACUAUAUUUUAGUUCAAGAACAGAAUACAAUACUCAAACGUUCAAUAGCAAAAAAGCUUCAAAUAUUCUGUGUCAAAAUAACGAGAAGUCUCCACCAUCAGUCUAGAAUAAACAUAAACCAAAUUGUCAAUAAGUCAAGACUAACAUAGUUGGAUGGGAGAUCGAAACAGAAUUCCCCAUUCAUAGUUCAAAGAAAAUUUGUAUAACAUAUGAAUAUCAAAUCGAUUUAUAUGUGCUGCGGGUGGAAAUACACAAUCAAACUUUUAAAAAACGUAGAAUUGAUGCAAGACAGGCAUACGCCGAGGUUGCUCCGGAGACAAUAUCUUUUCAAUAGAAGCAAAUGAUGUGGCCGAGAAAUAAAUUAUCAUUUCAAAUUUUCAUUUUUUAUUUUUAAAAUUUGUAUUUUAGUUAAUUUGUUGUAGAGAUUUUUCUUACAUCUUUAGUAUUUUCCUAUAUGGAAUAAAUCUCUAAAAAUUUAAGAUGUGGUUUUCGAAAUUUUAAAUUGCGGUUAGAUUUAUUUUUUUAAAUUAUGAAGGUAUAUUUUAAAAUCCUAAGAUUUAAUCCUGUCUAGAAUUAAAUUAAGUUUUCUUAAUAUAAAGUGGCAAAGCAUUUAUAGAAAGUUUUGAUCAAACAAAAUAUAGCAACCUUAGCAACUUUGGCAUAUCAUUCUUGUUUUCUUUCUUUUUCUCUAGUUUUUCUUUUUCCUUUUCCAGUGCUACAAUAUCUUUAAGGGUUAUUUGCAUAAACGUCCCUGCAAACAUAGUAAAUUGCAGAAAUAUACCUGCAAAACGAAAAUUCCAUAAGUUGUCCCUACAAAAGUCAUAAAUUAUGCAGAUAUCUCCCUGCUGUUAGAGUCUGUUAGAGAAAUUUAGUUAACCACAGUUACACUACUUAACCAUAAUUAAUUAAUAGUGUGAAUUUACGGUUCUACCCUUCUUCCUUAUCCUUCUCUUCCUUUUCCCUCUUCUUCGUCGUCGGCGAAGAGAUGCAGCGGCGGCGGCGGCGACGACGGCGGCGAAGCCUUUCCCUCUUGUCCAUGCGCGAGCUCGCCAAGGGCAUCACCUACUCCGAUCUCCGCCGCCGCUGGCACAUCCUCGUCGAUGGCGACGAUGUCCCCCCGCCCAUCCCUUCCUUCCGCGAAAUGCGCAUCUCCGACCCCGUCCUCCGCAAGAUCCGGGAGAAGGGCAUCGUCCGCCCCACCCCUAUCUAGGUCCAGGGCCUCCCUGUCGUCCUCUCCGGUCGCGACAUGAUCGACAUCGCCUUCACCGGCACCGGCAAGAUCCUCGUCUUCGUUCUCCCCCUCAUCAUUGCCGCCCUCCAGGAGGAGCUCAUCAUGCCCAUCGUCCCCGGCGAGGGCCCUUUCGGCCUCGUCGUCUGCCCCUCCCGCGAGCAGUUCCUCGCCCCGCUCAGGGACCACGGCUUCCCGAAGAUCUGCCCCCUCCUCUGUAUCGGCUGCAAACCCUAUCCGGCGGCGGACGGCGGCGGCGGCGCUGGAGAGGAAGAGAAAGAGAAGGGAAAGAAGGAUACUUUUGGAGGGAUAUAUUUUGAGGGCAAAAAGGUCAUUUCAUAAGAAAACUGUUAAAAAAUAAACAGUUCACUAGCGGAUUUUAACCAGAAGGGCAUAUUUGCAUAACUUAUGACUUUUGCAGGGACAACUUAUGGAAUUUUCAUUUUGCAGGGAUAUUUCUGCAAUUUACUAUGUUUGCAGGGAUGUGUAUGCAAAUAACCCUAUCUUUAAAUAUAGUACAUGCUAUAAUUCCUUUUAGAUUGCAUCAGUUGGUAUCAGAGUAGCCAAGAAAUAAACUAUAAGUUAAAACUUUAUUUUUUUCAUUUUCAAAAUUUUUAUUUUCGUCAAUUUGUUUUGGCCAAUUUGCAUAAAAUAUUUAUUAGUUUUGAGAUUUUGCAGAUUCGAUCUGAAUUUUUAGAAAAUUAUUCAAAAUAUCCUUAUUUCUUUCUCUCUCUUCUUUUUUUCUCUCGUUAUUUAUUUUUAUUCUCUCCAAAGAGGGCAUCGAAGGUAGAGGCGAGCCCGUCUUGUCUCUACCCCUUGCGCCCUUGCAUGCGCCGGCGCCUGCUCAUCCCCUACCCUCCUCGCCUCCGAUCCUACUCUUUUUUUCUUUUUCUUUUUUUUUCUCUCUAGCCUUCCUCCACCACCUCUGCAGUCCUCUGCGAUGGUAAUGAAGAUAGCACCGCGUCCUCUUCUUCCGCCUUCGCCCUACAUCUCCACUACAGCAGAUUUUUCACCCACCAAACCUACUUUUGUAAACCUGCCAUCCCCCCCAUCGUCGUCGACAACGAAGAGGAAGCACUUCUCGGCACCGAGAAGCUCACCGACGAGGGAAGGGGCAUGGGGCCCACUGCGCCUAUCUAAGGACAGCGACGAGUUAGGUGGAGAUAGAGGGGAGCACAACGACACUGGAGAAGAGGGCGGCAACAAGCACGACGGGAUCGGAGGCAAAGAGGGCGGGAGGUGCACGGGAGCAUCUCUAAUCAAGCACUUUUGUUUGCUGAAAAUAAGAAAAAUAACUAAAGGCCAAAAAUUAGAAAAUAAGAAAAAAUAAGUAGAGAAGAAAAAAGAAAAAGAUGAAGUUACACUGUUAUCGACAUAAGUUGCACUCCGUGAGAUGUAUAUUGUACCCUUUAAGAUGAAAGUUAUACUAUUUAAAUGAAAGUUAUACUCUUUGGGAGAUAAUUAUAAUGUUUCUCCUCCUCCUCCUUCCCCACCACUUCAUCGUCCUUCUUCUAUACCCAACUUCCUCCACCUCCACUGCAGCAUCUCUCGUCAAGCACUUUUAUUUGCUUAAAAUAAAAAAAAAUUAACUAAAGGUCAAAAACUAGAGAAUAAGGAAGAAGAAGGUGAGAUUGCACUAUUUUAAAAGAACGUUGCAUUGUUAUAGACGUAAAUUGCACUUUUUGAGAUAUAAAUUGUGCCCUUUAAGAUGAAAAUUAUAUUUUUUAAACAAAAGUUGCACUCUUUGGGAGAUAGUUACAUUGUUUCUUCUCUUUCCCAGCCUCUUUAGGAGAUAGUUAAACUCUUUAAACAAAAACUUGUACUAUUGAAAAAGGAGGAGAAACAGUGUAACUAUCUUUCAAAGAGUGCAACUUUUAUUUAAAGAGUGUAACUUCUAUCUUAAAGGGUGCAGUUUAUAUCUCAAAGAGUGUAACUUAUGUCUCUAGCAUUACAACGUUCUUCUAAAAUAGUGCAACUUCAUAUUCAUUUUUCUUUUUCUCUAGUUCUUCUUUUUUCUCUAGCUUUUGGCCUUUAGUUAAUUAUUUUCUGUUUUAAACAAAUAAAAGUGCUUGACCAGAGAUGCUCCUGUGCACCCCCGUCCUCCUCGCCUCCAACCCUGCUGAGGCCAUGCUCACCGUUGCCCUCUGGGACGCCGCCUCCGCUUCAACCACUCUCUUAUCCAGUGCCAUCGCGUUCCCCUUCAUCUCUACCUCACUUGUCGCCAGCCCUCGGUGAGCGCGGUGGGCCGCAUGCCCCUUCCCUCGCGGCUAGCUUCUCAACGAUAGUGGUGAGGACGACGAGUUUCCAGAAGUGGAUUUUGUCGGUGAAAAUCUGCUGCAAUAGAGGUAAAGGGCGAAGGCGGAGGAAGAGGACACGGUGCUGUCCUCGUUACCGUUGCGGAGGACCGCGAAGGUGGUGGAGGAGUGUUGGAGAGAACAUAAAAAAGAGGGUCGUAGCGUGGCCUCGGCAGGGUCGAAGGCAAGGAGGGUGGGGGUGCGCGGGCGAGGGCGUGUAGGGCAGAGGUAAGGCGAACCGCCUUCGCCUUUGCCGCCCUCUUCAAAGUGAAUAAAAAAAAGAACAAAAGAAAAAAAGAAGAAAGAAAAAGGAAUAAGGGUAUUUUGAUAAGUUUUCUUAAAAUUCGGACCGAAUCUGAAAAAUUCAAAAUGAUGGCCUACUUCUACAAAAAUCUCAAAAUUAAUAGAUUUUUUUUUAUGCAAAUUGGCCAUUUGUUGUAGAGCCUUUUCUUAUAUACUUUUAGAAUUAUUCCAUGUGGAAUAAAUCACUAAAAAUAAGGAAGAUGAUUUUAGAAGUUUUAAAUUACAAUUAAAAAUAUUUUUAUUAGAAAAUUUUUUAAAAUCAUGGGAUUUGAUUGAGCCUAGAAUUUGAGUUUUGUAAUAUAAAUAUGGAUAAUUUUUCUGAAGAGGGAUUUUGAUGAAGUAAAAAAUGUAGUGACCCUGGAAUUUAGCAUUUGAGGCUUGUCGACAGCUCUGGAGAGUGUCGGGACGAGUCUGAGUACUGUUGGCAUGAAAUAGACGCAAACUGGACUCAGCAGAACGCGAGAGCAGAGAGUUAGCAUUGCAAUCUGCAAAUUGCAGAUUUCCAGCAAUUGGUACCGGUACCACACAGGGGGGUACCGGUACCCAGUGCAUUUUUCUGCGCAGACUGCUCUCGGGUUGCCCAUUCUGCCGGGGUAUCGGUACAACAUUGAACUAGUACCGGUACUCCAAGGGAGGUGAGGGGCUGUUUGGUCUUUUGGCUGCUUCAUUGUUUUCACCCCCUCUCCCACUCCUUCAUAUACGUGUAGAGAGGCUGACGGAAGGUUUUGCAUGUUCUCUCCUUCUCUCUCUCUCUAGUUCUUGAGCCAUACGUGAAGGAGGCCUCGGGUGGAGUCGGAGCGACGUCGACGUUGCGCCGCGGUGCCGUUCGAGCGUGCUUUCGUCAUAGUAGCGCCGUUGGGAGGCCGGGCGAGCGUGUGGUUCCGCUUCUAUCGACUUCUUGCCGGAUUCGGAGUAGCUUUCGAGGUGGGUCAAAGUGAUGCUUACCGGAUUUCACAGAUUUUUCUCCUAAUUCUAUAUGUUGACAGCAUGUAUUUUUAGCUUCGUUUGGCAUAUUGUUUAGCUCGAUUCUUAGAUUUGCAUAUUAUUGAUCUUGAAUUGGAGCUUAGAAUACUAGCUAAAUUAUACAUGUUGAACUUGGUUUUGACUUAGGAGAAAACUGGCGUUUCUAUACUGUCAUAUGUUAAACUACCAGAUUUAGCUCUAAGAGCCGUAGUUUAUUUGUAUCGCCGCAGUUGUGGGCGGUGGAUACCCAGAAUAGCAUAGAAAAUAUUUACGCUCGUGCUGAGGUGCCGAGUGUAUUUUUACAGUAAUGUUUAGGCUAUUCCGGAUUGUCGGGUGCUGUUGGGAUUGACGGUGGACCCAGAUUGCUGUUUUUGCAUCAGAUUGUGCCAUGUAACGUACCGAAAUUUCGGUGGAAAAUAUCGAACUUUGGCCAAAUUGGCUAAAAUGUGCGAAAGAAAUAGUUGGACGAGUUCCAGUUAAAGAGUUGGCCAGCGACAACGGCGGUGGUUGGGGUUAUUGAAAGAUUACGACGUUACUAUUCUAUACCACCCCGGAAAGGGAAAUGUCGUGGCCGAUGCACUUAGUAGAAAAUCGGGAAAAAACUUGGCUUCGGCAAUUAUACUCCAACCGUUGUUGCAAAAGGAGAUGCAACGACUUGGUCUUGAGGUAGUGGCUUCGGGAGUGCCGGCAACCCUUGCGGCGUUGGUUGAUCAACCGACCUUGUUGCAGAGGAUAAAAGAGUUGCAAGCUUCCAAUGAGUAUCUCCAAAAGGUGCGCGGAGAAGUUGAAAGCGGUAGUGCCGAUGAUUUUGGCGUUGGGACCGACGGCACCCUUCGAUUCCGAAAUCGUUUGUGUGUACCAAAAAAUAAGGACAUUCGUAAGACGAUUAUGCAAGAAGCACAUCAAUCUCCUUAUAGUAUUCCCUCGGGCGGCACCAAGAUGUACCAAGAUUUAAAAGUGCACUAUUGGUGGCCAGGCAUGAAGAAAGAUAUUUGGGAGUUCGUGGCACAAUAUCUUUCGUGCCAACAAGUAAAAGGGAGUUGCGGUUUCCGGCGGAAAAAUUGCAAAGCUUACCUAUACCCGUUUGGAAAUGAAAAAAUAUCGCUAUAGACUUUGCGAACGAUUUGCCCCGAUCUCAAGGUAGACACGACGCAAUUUGGGUGAUAGUAGACCGGUUGACGAAGUCGGCGCAUUUCCUAUCAAUUCAUAUUACAUGGUCGGGAGACAAGUUGGCUCAAGUAUACAUCGACGAGGUUGUGAGACUUCAUGGGGUUCCGGUAUCAAUUGUAUCGGAUCGGGACCCGAGAUUCAUAUCUCACUUUUGAAGGAGCCUACAGGAGGCGUUGGGCACACGGCUCGACUUUAGCACGGCAUUUCGUCCUCAAAGUGAUGGUCAAUCGGAAAGGACAAUACAAAUACUUGAGGAUAUGUUUCGAGCGUGUGUACUUGACUACAAGGGUGGUUGGCAUGAUCAUCUACCGAUGGCGGAGUUUGCGUACAAUAACAGUUACCAAGAGAGUAUCGCGAUGAUGCCAUUCUAGGCCCUUUAUGAAAGGAAAUGUCGCUCUCCUAUUCAUUGGAGCCAGGUGGACGAGAGAGUGGCUCUUGGCCCCGAUGUAGUGCGGGAACCGGAGGAGAAAGUUCGCCUCGCCCGCCAACGACUUGCUACGGCGCAAUCUCGGCAAAAUAGCUAUGCCGACAAGCGAAGAAAAGAUAUCGAGUUCGCGGUUGGUGACCACGUAUUCUUAAAAAUAUCGCCAAUGCGAGAAAUAAAACGGUUUGGAAUCCGUGGGAAGUUAAGUCCCUGGUAUCUUGGAUCGUUCGAAAUAUUGGAACGCGUUGGCGCUGUGGCCUACAAGAUAGUAUUACCACCGAGGCUUGCGGGAGUGCACGAUGUGUUUCAUGUAUCGAAUCUCUGCAAGUAUGUUCCUGAUCCCGAGCAUGUCCUCUCGUUUGAACCGUCCGAGAUUCAAGAGGAUAUGACUUAUGAGGAGUUUCCGGCAUACAUCAUCGAUCGAGAAGUAAGAAAACUACGGAACCGCGAGAUUCCGUAUGUUAAGGUCCGUUGGUGCAACCACAAUGAUCAGGAAGCCACUUGGGAGCUCGAGAGCACGAUGUGGGAGCAUUAUCUCCAUCUCUUCGAGGAUCUGGAUUAAGGUAUGGAUCUAGAUUUUAAUCAAGUUAGUUUAGCGGACGAAACUAAUUUUAAGGAGUGAAGAAUAUAACGUACCAAAAUUUCGAUGGAAAAUAUCGAACUUUGGCCAAAUUGGCUAAAGUGUGCGAAAGAAAUAGUUGGACAAAUUCCAGUUAACAUGCCAACAAGGUUGGAAGGGUUAAAAAUGAGUUCCAAAAGGAUUAGAAUGGUUUUAGCGUUGUUCGGCACGAAAUAGAAUCGAAAAGAUGCUAAAACCCAAGUCUGGGCAAAGUGUACCGGUACAACAUUGAUGUUGUACCAAUACAACACUGCAACCCGAGAGGAAUUGCUCUUGGGUUUGCCUCUGCGCGAUCGUGUUACUGGUGACAAGAACCCGUGUACCGGUAUACUUUGGUCUCGCAGCAACUUGAGGUUUGCUUUAAGAUAGAAAGAAGUAAGGGACUUUUUUGUAAAUGUUACCACAUGUUAACAUCCCAACACCCCGUCCCUCUCUCUUUCACAGCCAACACACCACUCUCUCACAUUUUUCUCUUUCUCUCUCUAGAAACCUCUCUAAAGAGUAAGGAGGUCGAGUAGAAGGCUUUGGAGGAGAUUUUUGGUGCGUUUGAAGGCUUUGAAGCUCUUCAACAAGGUGGACUUGGGUGAGCUUGUGGCUAAGGUGAGGUGUUUUGUGAGAAUAGGUCUAGGGUUUGGUUUCAUGUCCUAGAAAACUAGGUUUUGAUCUUCUCUCAUGUAUAGAAACCUAGUAGGAGCUUAGAACACAUGGACACCCUAGUUUUCUCUAUGUGCUCUAAUAGUAGAUUUCUAGGGUUUGCUUUAUAUGCCCUAGAAAUGGUUUAAAUGAUUCUAGAUGAGCUUCUAAGUAUUGGAUAAGCUCUCUUUUGCUUGUUCUAGAGGUCAAAACCUAGGUUGGAGCAAAUGGCAACAUUAGGGCACCAAAUUUGGGGCUUUGCCCUAGGGUGUUUCUAAGUCAAAUUAACCUUGUAGAAACCUAAUUAGAGGUAUUCCCGAUGCAAUGGGAAACUCGGUUCGACGAAACGAAAAAGUUUAAAAAAAGUUAUUGUAUAAAAAGCCUAAUUUGGCUUCGUAUUGCCGCAGGCGAGCGAGUAGGCACCAAAAAAAUUUCAAGAAUUAAACCAUAGUAUCCCUACAACCAUCCAAGGUGGGUGGUCCAUUCCAAGGACCUCAAAAUUUUCUUUAUGUCUAAAGUGUCAUAUUUGAGCAUAUAUAUGUGUUGAGCAUAUUGCAAGUAGGGUUACUUCUGAGCUUGUUAUUUCAUGUUUUGAAUUCAAAUGCAUGUGAAAUACUAGUAAGAAAGUGAGAAUUUAUAAACCCUAUGUAUGCAUGAUAAAUGACAAGAACUUAGUCGAUUUAGAAAACAAAUGUGACAUGUGGACAUGAAUGUAGAGAGUGACAUUGUUGAGUCAAUAAAGCUAGAAUUGAACACGUAGAGAACAAAUGUGCAUGUGUGUGUCAGUACAAAGUAGUGUAUAUGACACUAGCGAAAGUAAAGGAUGUAAGUAAAGGAGUGAUUGUGACAUUAUGACAUAGCAACCUUAGAGUUAAGGGUCAUGUCAUGCCUCGCGACCAACCGCCAAUUUGCACCGGGUCGUGGCGCCACCGACAGACCGCCGAACGGACCGCGAAUUCCCCUGUACGCGGACAGAGUCUCCCCAGUACGUCCAAGGCGUCGCAAUCCAAACAAUCAACGAAUGUUCCAACAAGGAACGGAUAUCAAUCCAGAUUGCAUAAGGAAGUAUCAAAUACAUAAUCUACUUGCUAUUACAAGCAUUCAUUUCACAAUCACGUUUUACAUCACAGUUUCAGUUUACAUUUUUACUUCCAAAUUACAAUCUCACUAUUACAUCAGAGUUUACAAGUUUGAUACAUUUUCUUUUCUUGUCUUCUAGACCCCUAAGCUAGACUGUCUCAGGGUACUGCUACCUCGGUCUCUGUGGUAGGGCGCUAUCUACUGAGCUACGCCCUCGCCUCGCGCCGCCGCGCAGCACACGAACGACCUGAAAACCCCAAAACAACGUGGGGUGAGAACCAACUCCAUGGUUCCCAGUGGGUACGGCCACCCAAGGAAAAAGCUCGAUCGAUAGGUCCGAUGAGGCACAGCAACAUGUUAGUUCAACAAUAUACAACAGAUAUAUAUAUUCAAUUGAAAUACAUGCCAUGCCUCACAAUAUGCGAUAUGAAAAUCAUGCAACAACUAGUAGAUCAUUUGAAUUCUACUUUUACUUGGCUACUUUAGCUCAUAACUUUACUCUAAGGUUUCUAUUACCUUAGGAUCAUAAAACCAACCACUAGCUUCUAAGGUUUCUAUUUACCUUAGCUCAAGCCUCUAUCUCUAGCUCAUAAGGGUUCCUCUACCCUAUUAUAGCUAACCACUCGACUUGGCUUCGAGUCAAUCAUCUGCGGAUAGUCCGCGUACUGGCUGCUCAACAGCCUACCGCACUCUCUCUGACUCAGCCUCCUAGCGGCGAAAUCGUCGCACACGCUGAACACGGCUCGAGUCGCAUGACUUGACCAUCGGUGGCGAUUGCGUUGCACUUACCCAGCGUGAAUCGAGACAUGACAUACCGUCUGGCGGCGAACGGGUCGCACCACACCCAACAACGAUCAUGUCAGACUCAGUCACCUGGAGGCACCCGCAUCGUACUUACCCAGCAUGGAUUCAGUCUGCUCUGGCGGUCUGAUCCUCAAAUGGCUUAACCAUCCGGCGGCGAAAUCGUCGCAUAAACGCCACGACAAUGGUUCAAGCCCCGGGUGGUGAUCUCCAUAUGAUCGCCCCAAAUCUACCCAUGGUACCAAGCUCGGCGGCGCAGUUGUCGCACGAACGCCCUAGCCUGUACGAGGGACAUCAUAAGUCCUGGGAUUCCGGAAUCCACUUUACCACAGGUCGAGGGUCCAUAACCAAUCCUAUACUGUCGACCUAUCUCAUCCUAGUGGCUAUACCACUAUACUCAUCAACCUAGGUUCCAAUGCUCUUAGGUUCUAUGUCCAUGUCACUUAACCUAGAUACACUUGCUAGGUUCUUGUCAUCUUUGCCUAGAUGUCCACUUCUAGGUUUAGUAGUUCGAUCUAGGUUGACUAACACUAGGUUAGAUGCCACACACCUAGAUUGUUCAACUCUAGGUUCACUUGUUUAACCGUUAUUCUUUAAUACUAGGUUAGAUGCCACUCGAUCUACCUGACAACCUAGUUGUCCAAUCAUCUCUACUCGUACUAGAGUUAUCAUCUGGUUUAUAUGCAAAUACCAUACAUCAUGCUUUCUACUUAGCAUUUACUUUAUGCAUCCUUGCUAACAUGCAUUCUUUACUUGUCAUGCUAUCUACUUAGCAUCUUUAUCUAUGCAUUAUUACUGAUAUGCAUUCUUUACACUAGCUAGCAUUAUCUAAAUGCCAUAAUCAUUAUGCUCCACUAUGCAUUGUAUUAAUAUGUAUUUACUCUAAGCAUUACCAUUUAUCAUGCUUUCUACUUAGCAUCUUUAUUAACAUGCAUCAUUGUUCUUGUCUACAUGCACAUGCAUCAAUCAUGAGACUACAUUGCUAAGACAUAAAGGGCGACCUAGUCGCUUCGGUAAGCACAACCCACCUUAACUCGCGAUCCGAUUGCUUGUCGACACUUGCAAUCGGCCUCCCGCGGCACUCGGCACCGAUUUGGGCCCGAACUCUUGCGCGACUUAGCGAACAACCUCCGAACCGCGAUCCGUCUUUUCCGGAGUUUAUUACUUGACUUCAAGAUGCUCCGGUUCCGAUCUCACGAUUUUUAAGCUUUUUUUUCGCGUGUUGCGGCCAUCUGUACCAAAACCGACCGUUUCGUCAAUAACUUCGCGUACACUCGUCGGAUUGUCGAACCGAGCAUUUCAACGCGUUCGUUAGGUCCCCAAUUAAGUUUCCAAGCGGUCAAAAUAGAUCAAAACCCCAUAUGAGCAAAACCCCUCUUNCUCUUAAGCACCUUGUGCGAGCCACCAGCCCUUACGAGUGAUCCAUGGCCCGCUUCACACUUAGCCCAGCUGAAGUGCUACUGCCAAUUCACUCGACCGGCUGAAUCGAAACCGCACUCUACGAGCAUCUAUACUCGAGUGCCUUAAGCCUCUACAGCGUCUCACACGAAGCCUAGCGUCAGGCAGCUUGCCUAUGCACGUCCACUACACGAGCACACUCGUCCACCUCAACUCGAGGUACUACUAGGCCCACAGGCCAUACUCGGCACUAACCGACCAAUUUCGCGACAGUGGUUCAUCUUCACCAUUCAAUCUACCAAAUCCGCAUUCGAAAUACCUUUGGGAUAUUCGGGCGUUCCCAAACAUCAAGGCCCAACUCUCGAAAUCUCCAACCCAUUGCUUUGAGAGUCCUUUCACCACUCGGUUUCCAUUGCGAGCCUCGUUUCCUGUCCAACAUCACCACUAGCCAUUUCCUAGUACCAUCGGCUCUCAACCUGUUAGCAUGCUUGGGUGCCUACUUACCCGACCUCUCGGUCCCUACUAUGCAACGUAUAAAUAGUAGCAACUGACCAAUGACGAAUGCAUGCUAUGCACCAACUUGAGAUUAUGCAAAAAAUAUGCUUGCUCAAUUAAAUCAUACCUGCCACGACGUCAUCAGCAACGGCAGGCACAACAGCUCGGGUCGCUUAUCUAUGGCCACUUGGCGCCCGUCGCGAACCCUCUGGUUGCAACAUUCUCAAUGGCUGCUCCCCCGACCAUGCCGCAGGUGGCACACCCGCCGGCUGUCCCAAAGAGGAGUGGGCCAUCGCCAGUGUCAAGGCCCGGUUAUCACCCUGUGGACACUCGUCCCGCACAUGGCCCGGCAGCCCAAACUUGAAGCACUUGCCCUCUCGCUGUUCACAUUGCUGUGGAAAAUGGGGGCCUCCACAAAUUGCACAUCUCGCCGAGGACCGAAUGCGAUACGUCCCCGGAGCUCUAGAUCGAGAGUGCGUCCUCACUGAGGUCCGUUGGGAACUUGACUGACCAUCAUGUCCGCUCACUGGCCGUCCUUUCCCUUUUUCCCUGUAGUGUUCCUCACGCUUCUCCCGCAGGAAAGCAUUGCCUUGUUCUAUCCGCAAGGCCCGGUCCAGGACUUCAGCAAAAGUCUGCAACUUUAGCACAAGCACCGUCUGGUACAGGUCUGACCGAAGUCCACGCACAAAGCAGUCGGCCUUGUCCUUGUCAUCUCGCAGCACGUUCGGGACACAAUGCACGAUACGGAAAAAUUCCUGCUCGUAUUGCCUGACCGUGCGACUUCCUUGCUGUAGCUUAAGAAACAUCUCCUAAAGUUUUCGCUUCUCGCUAUCGGGGAAAUAUGUCAAGAACAACAUCCCCCGAAACUCUUCCCAAGUCAUUGGAGGGAGACUAGGCAGUCGAUCUCGCUUGACGCCUUUCCACCACACCUUCGCCGAUUGUUUCAGAUAAUGCACGGCUAGGUUUACCUUAUCUCGUUCUAACGUGUACAGAUCCUCGAAGAGUGUUUCCAUGGAAUCGAUCCACAUCUCAACGACCCACGGAUCUGCAUCUUCACCAUCAAAGGUAGGCGGAUCAAACUUUUUGAAAGUCAUGAGGGCCGCUAAAGCUCGCUCCCUCUCCGCCGCAACCUCUGGGCCAACAGGAGUCGGAUCGCCCGACCCCGACGGAAACAGCUCCGCCGCAACUCCCGGCUGUCCUCGACCAGCCGCAGCUGGUGCUGCCACCAGCCGGUCCACAGUCUCUUGGAGUCGUUCCAUUCGCUCCUCUUGGCGCAUAGCAGCCUCCUGCUGCCGCUGCACCACAUCAGCUUGUUGCCGCAUCACUCCAAUGAGUGUGGCCAACUGAUCGCGAAGCUCCGAGUCUCCGCUGCCGUCGAUUUGCUCAGGGACGCCACUUGUCCCCUCCCGCGCCGAUAUGGAUGAAGGUCGUCUACGCGGUGCCAUCGUUUUCUGAAAUAGGACAACUCAAUUAGUCCUCGACGCUCUGGGUCGAACACGAGACCACUAGCACCGGCUAAAAAGCCAAUCAGGCGAAAGUCAAACAAGAACGUCUAUUCUCGUCACUCGGCUUUAUGUUGUGCGCGCCCAACAUAAACACACUUGGUCGAGAAUAAACCAUACCUUGAGUCUACCUCUAAUAUCCGUCUUAGAGGUUAUGACACAACCCAAUUCAUAAUCCUUUCGCCACAAAUCAUAAGUCCUCGUCUCUCACGAGCCUUAUUCUCCUAUGGUUUCACUAUCCUAGGGUCUCCUAGGUCUGUCUAAACCAUUUUUCCCAUUUUCUACUUUAUUCUCUGAUACCAUCUUAUCUGUCACGCCCCGCGACCAACCGCCAAUUUGGACCGGGUCGCGGCGCCACCGACAGACCGCCGAACGGACCGCGAAUUCCCCUGUACGCGGACAGAGUCUCCCCAGUACGUCCAAGGCGUCGCAAUCCAAACAAUCAACGAAUGUUCCAACAAGGAACGGAUAUCAAUCCAGAUUGCAUAAGGAAGUAUCAAAUACAUAAUCUACUUGCUAUUACAAGCAUUCAUUUCACAACCACGUUUUACAUCACAGUUUCCGUUUAUAUUUUUACUUCCAAAUUACAAUCUCACUAUUACAUCAGAGUUACAAGUUUGAUACAAUUUCUUUUCUUGUCUUCUAGACCCCUAAGCUAGACUGUCUCAGGGUACUGCUACCUCGGUCUCUGUGGUGGGGCGCUAUCUACUGAGCUACGCCCUCGCCUUGCGCCGCCGCGCCGCACACGAACGACCUGAAAACCCCAAAACAACGUGGGAAGAGAACCAACUCCAUGGUUCCCAGUGGGUACGGCCACCCAAGGGAAAAGCUCAACCGAUAGGUCCGAGGAGGUACUGCAACAUGUUAGUUCAACAAUAUACAACAGAUAUAUAUAUUCAAUUGAAAUACAUGCCAUGCCUCACAAUAUGCGAUAUGAAAAUCAUGUAACAACUAGUAGAUCAUUUGAAUUCUACUUUUACUUGGCUACUUUAGCUCAUAACUUUACUGUAAGGUUUCUAUUACCUUACGAUCACAACACCAACCACUAGCUUCUAAGGUUUCUAUUUACCUUAGCUCAAGCCUCUAUCUCUAGCUCAUAAGGGUUCCUCUACCCUAUCAUAGCUAACCACCCGACUCGGCUUCGAAUCAAUCAUCUGCGGAUAGUCCGCGCACUGGCUGCUCACAGCCUACCGCACUCUCUCUAACUCAGCCUCCUAGCGGCGAAAUCGUCGCACACGCUGAACACGGCUCGAGUCGCAUGACUUGACCAUCGGUGGCGAUUACGUUGCACUUACCCAGCGUGAAUCGAGACAUGACAUACCGUCUGGCGGCGAACGGGUCACACCACACCCAACAACGAUCAUGUCAGACUCAGUCACCUGGAGGCACCCGCAUCGUACUUACCCAGCAUGGAUUCAGUCUGCUCUGGCGGUCUGAUCCUCAAAUGGCUUAACCAUCCGGCGGCGAAAUCGUCGCACAAACGCCACGACAAUGGUUCAAGCCCCGGGCGGUGAUCUCCAUAUGAUCGCCCCUAAUCUACCCACGGUACCAAGCUCGGCGGCGAAGUUGUCGUACGAACGCUCUAGCCUGUACGAGGGACAUCAUAAGUCCUGGGAUUCCGGAAUCCACUUUACCACAGGUCGAGGGUCCAUAACCAACCCUAUACUGUCGACCUAUCUCAUCCUAGUGGCUAUACCACUAUACUCAUCAACCUAGGUUCCAAUGCUCUAGGUUCUAUGUCCAUGUCACUUAACCUAGAUACACUUGCUAGGUUCUUGUCAUCUUUGCUUAGAUGUCCACUUCUUGGUUUAGUAGUUCGAUCUAGGUUGACUAAUUAACACUAGGUUAGAUUCCACACACCUAGAUUGUUCGACUCUAGGUUCACUUGUUUAACCGUUAUUCUUUAAUACUAGGUUAGAUGCCACUCGAUCUACCUGACAACCUAGUUGUCCAAUCAUCUCUACUCAUACUAGAGUUAUCAUCUGGUUUAUAUGCAAAUACCAUACAUCAUGCUUUCUACUUAGCAUUUUCUUUAUGCAUCCUUGCUAACAUGCAUUCUUUACUUGUCAUGCUAUCUACUUAGCAUCUUUAUCUAUGCAUUAUUACUGAUAUGCAUUCUUUACACUAGCUAGCAUUAUCUAAAUGCCAUAAUCAUUAUGCUCCACUAUGCAUUGUAUUAAUAUGCAUUUACUCUAAGCAUUACCAUUUAUCAUGCUUUCUACUUAGCAUCUUUAUUAACAUGCAUCCUUGUUCUUGUCUACAUGCACAUGCAUCAAUCAUGAGAUUACAUUGCUAAGACAUAAAGGGCGACAUAGUCGCUUCGGUAAGCACAACCCACCUUAACUCGCGUUCCGAUUGCUUGUCGACACUUGCAAUCGGCCUCCCGCGGCACUCGGCAUCCGUUUGGGCCCGAACUCUUGCGCGACUUAGCGAACGACCUCCGAACCACGAUCCGUCUUUUCCGGAGUUUAUUCCUUGACUCCAAGAUGCUCCGGUUCCGAUCUCACGAUUUUUAGGCUUUUAUUUCGCGUGCUGCGGCCAUCUGUAGCAAAACCGACCGUUUCGUCAAUAACUUCGCGUACACUCGUCGGAUUGUCGAACCGAGCAUUUCAACGCGUUCGUUAGGUCCCCAAUUAGGUUUCCAAGCGGUGAAAAUAGAUCAAAACCCUAUAUGAGCGAAACCUCUCUUUAGGAUGCCCUAAUGUGCCAUUUGCUCAAUACCCCAGAUUUGAUCUAUAGAACAAGCAAAAGAGAGCUUGUUUAUCAUCUAGGAGCUCAUCUAGGAGCAUUCGAACCAUUUCUAGGGUGUUUAGAACAAACCCUAGAAAUCCACCAUUAGAGCUCCUUGAAGAAUAACAUGGAUUUCGUAUGUUCUUGGCCUCUACAAGGUUCUAAACAUAUUAGAAGCUUCAAAACUCUAGGUUUUAGGGUUUAAAAACCAACCCUAACCCUAUUCCUACCAUGAGAGGUGAUAGGAACUUACCUCUCAAGCUCCUCCAAGCAUGAGGAAGAUGAAGGUGGAGGUAAUCAUCUUCUUCUCCAUCUUUUUCUUCUUUUCCUUUCUUCUCUUCUCUUUUUCCUUCUCUUUUCUUCUUGUCCUUUCUUCUCUUUUUCCUUCUCCUCCCUUGCAACCGGUUGAGAGAGAGGGAGAUACACGAGAGAGGGAGAGAAAGAGAGAGCUGGGGUUAUAACAUAUUGUAACAAUUGCCAAAAGAACCC